rnacentral:tRNA from 1 species
GAGGGUAUAGCUCUGUGGCAGAGUGCGUGCUUAGCAUGCAUGAGGUCCUGGGUUCCAUCCCCAGUACCUCCA